rnacentral:rRNA from 1 species
GACGAACGCUGGCGGCGUGCUUAACACAUGCAAGUCGAACGAAGUAGCGAACGGAUGAGUAACGCGUAAUCAACCAGCUCUUCAGAGGGGGACAACAGUUGGAAACGACUGCUAAUACCGCAUACUGAAGGAGUGGAUUGCGUCUGAUUAGGUAGUGGGAGGGGUAACGGCCCAACAAGGCGAAGAUCAGUAGCCGGGCCUGGGGGGGGAACGGCCACAUUUGGACCGGGACACGGCCCCAACUCCUAAGGGAGGCAGGAGUGGGGAAUCUUCCGCAAUGGACGGAAGUCUGACGGAGCAAAGCCGCGUGGGUUGUGACGGCCUUCGGGUUGUAAAGCUCUGUUAAUCGGGACGCGGUACCGGAAUAGAAAGCCACGGCUAACUACGUGCCAGCAGCCGCGGUAAUAC